AUGGGAUUCCUGGCGAGGUGGAGGGACUGGAUUGCGUUGUUGUUGGCCUCGACAUCAUCUUCAUGUUUGUUAAAUGGUGUGGAGGGCGCGCCGGUGCAACACAGGAGGGGUUUAUGCCAAGGCGCCCCUCUGCCCCGGCUCCUCUUCAUCCCGGCGAUUGACCCACUGCACAGGCUGAUCAAGGCGGCUACCCGCUCGAGGUCUUUACAGCCCUUCCCGGCUGGUGCAGCCAGGCUGCGGGUCGGCUUGUACGCGGAUGACGCGGUAGUAUUCCUCAACCCCGAUAGGCAGGAGGUGGAAGCGCUCUUUGAGAUACUACAAGGCUUCGGGGAUGCCACAAGGCUGCACCUUAACCGGGACAAAUCCUCGGUGACACCAAUCUGUUGCUCGCAGAUUAACUUGGGGCAAGUUCUGCAGGGAUUCUGGGACCAGACCGUCCGCUUCCCCAUCCGGUAUCUAGGCAUCCCGAUCGUCUUGGGUAGACUUAGGCUAGUGCAUCUAUAGUUCAUCCUAGAUAGGAUUCGUGCUAGGUUAGCGAGGUGGAAGGGACGCCUCAUGCCACUGUCAGGCCGACGUGUACUGGUCUAG
rnacentral:rRNA from 1 species